CCUACGGGUGGCAGCAGUGAGGAAUAUUGGUCAAUGGGCGAGAGCCUGAACCAGCGAAGUCGCGUGAGGGAAGACGGUCCUAUGGAUUGUAAACCUCUUUUGUCGGGGAGCAAAAAGGCCUCGUGAUGCCACAAGUGAGAGUACCCGAAGAAUAAGCAUCGGCUAACUCCGUGCCAGCAGCCGCGGUAAUACGGGGGAUGCUAGCGUUAUCUGGAUUUAUUGGGUUUAAAGGGUGCGUAGGCGGACUGGAAAGUCAGCGGUAAACUCGAGAGGCUCAACCUCUUUCCGCCGUUGAAACUGUCGGACUUGAGUGGGGGAGAAGGAUGCGGAAUGCGUGGUGUAGCGGUGAAAUGCGUAGAUAUCACGAAGAACUCCGGUGGCGAAGGCAGGAUACCGGCGACCGACUGACGCUGAGGCACGAAGGCGUGGGGAGCGAACAGGAUUAGAUACCCCAGUAGUC
rnacentral:rRNA from 1 species